AAGUGAAGUUAAAAAAGCCAACUAUUUCUAAAAAUGCAUAGAGUUUAAUCAUCGCCCAUCAGCCUCAGAGACGCUGCCAUUAAAUAUUGAUUUUAUUUUUUCGUACCGAUAAAAUUCGGAAUCUUGCCGGUGCAUUUAAAUAGUUAAGUUGGCGCUCAAACGGAGAAGACAUGUAAAAUGAAAGCAGGGGAGUGUCACAAACAUGUAUACACAAGCUUUACGCCAUGCUCAUAAAAAACUCUGCAGCAAGGCGUUAAUUUCUGUACAACACGGCGAUUAUGAAAAUGCCCUUGCCGCAUUGUUUCAAACACCUGGUGUGCUACAAGAACACACUUACUUCAAGUAUUCCUUUGCGACAUAUUAUCAAACAGCAGGCGUGCAAUCCACAUUCAUCUUCUUCUCUGCUCUAUCACUCCUUGUCGUCCAGCAAAAGAGCCAAAAGAUUGUACCCUUAUCUGUUUUGCACUCUUAUUCACCUCUUUCUCUCUUGUCGCCGCCUUUCGAGAGCUAUUCAAGCCUUCGCAGCCAUGAGAAGCCAGAAUGUGGUUCCGGAACUAGCCUCCUGGAAUCGGAUUCUGCGUGAAUUCAAUCACGCUGGAUUGGUGUCUCAGGUUUGGUAUGUUUACUCUGAGAUGAUAUCUUGUGGGGUUUUUCCGAAUGUUGCGACUCGUAAUAUUGUUAUUCAUUCUUUAUGUAAAAUUGGUAGUAUUAGUCUAGCCCUUGAUAUGGUCAGAGAUGAUUAUAGUGAAAGUGAUACUGUUAGUUAUAAUACAGUCAUAUGGGGUUUUUGUAAAAUUGGAAAUGGCAAGUUGGGUUUAGGAUUGUGUUCCGAAAUGGUUAAAAAGGGGAUUCCUUUCGAUUCUUUUACUUGUAAUAUACUUGUUAAGGGUUUUUGUGAGUUGGGUUUGCUGAGAGAUGCAGAGUGGGUUGUGGAUAGAAUGAGAAGGGAAGGGGAUGUUGUGUUUGAUGUUGUUGGUUUUAAUACGUUGAUUUGUGGGUAUUGUAGAGCUGGGGAGGUAAAUUAUGCUCUUGCUCUGAUGAAGAGUGCGAGGAAUGAUGUAUGUCCUGAUAUUGUUACAUAUAAUACUUUGAUAAAUGGGCUGUGCAACAUGGGCGACUUCGAUGGUGCCAAGAGACUUAUUAUUGAGAUGUUUAAGGAUGAAGAAGAAUUAAACACUAAUGUUGAUAAUAAAGUAGAAGAUUUUGUUGUUCGAAGGCUGGGCUUUGAACCCAAUGUUGUAACAUAUACCACACUUAUUGGUAGGUAUAUCGAACAAGAACGGCUUGAUGAAGCACUUUCUGUACAUGAAGACAUGAUAUCGAGUGAAACUUUACCUGAUGUUGUUACUUAUAGUUCUGUAAUGGAUGGCCUUUAUAAGAGCGGGAGAGUUGAGGACGCUGCUUUGCUUUUUGAGGAGAUGAAAAGGAUGGGUGUGGAGCCUAAUUAUGUAACUUACACUGUCCUUUUGGAUUCAUUGUUUAAGAAGGGGAACACACUGGCAGCUCUUAAACUUCAAAGUCAAAUGUUAGUCCGUGGAAUCCCCUUUGACGUUGUUUCACUGACCACUUUGAUGGAUGGGCUGUUUAAGGUUGAAAGGCCCAGUGACGCUGAAAACAUGUUUAAGACUCUCCUAAUGUUCAAUUUAGCUCCAAGCUGUGCCACAUAUACAGCAUUGAUUGACGCACGGUGCAAGGUUGGAGACGUACAGGGUGCUGAGUCUGUGUUACAAGAAAUGGAGCAUAACAAUAUUUUUCCAAAUGUCAUUACAUAUACUUCUAUGAUCUGUGUCUAUCUAAAGAAGGGAGCAGUUGAUGUAGCACUUUAUUACACAAGAAAAAUGGACGACCAAAAUAUAAAGCCUAAUGUUUUUACCUAUGGUGCGCUGGUUGAUUCCUGUUUAAAGCUUGGUAAACAUGAUAUAGCUAUUGAGAUGUAUGAAGAAAUGAAACUAAAGGGCGUGAAGGAAAAUAAUCAUAUACUCAAUGCUUUCAUAAACAAUCUGAAAAGAAAUGGGCAAAUGGACGAGGCUGAUGCAUUCUUUAGAAAUACGACAUCUGUGGGAUUGAUUCCAGAUUGUGUAAGUUACACAUCUCUAAUUGAUGGAUAUUUCAAGGCAGGAAAAGAGUCAGCUGCACUCGACAUUGCUCAAGAGAUGAUGGAGAGAAAUAUAGAGUUUGAUGUUGUUGCAUACAAUGUCCUGAUUAAUGGACUGCUUGGACUUGGAAAGUAUGAAGUUCAGGUUGUGUAUGCUGAAAUGAGACAGCGUGGUCUCAUACCAGAUUGCGCUACAUUUAACACCAUGAUUACUGCUUACUGCAGACAGGGUAAACUGGAAAGUGCUCUGAAUCUUUUGAGCGAGAUGAAUGAAUUUGGUGUGCCGUUUAAUUAUAUUACCUGUAAUACUCUUGUAAAAGGGCUUUGUGAAGCCUCUCAGGUUGAUGAGGCAAUGGAGGUGCUAAGCAAAAUGCAAGGUAUGGGUCUAAAGCCUUCUACCACUGCUCAUAAGAUCAUGUUGGAUGCUGCUUCAAAGAGUAAACGGGCCGAGAGAAUCUUUUCAGUUCAUGAGCAGCUUGUAGGUAUGGGUCUAAAACUCAACCAGACUGUCUAUAAUACCCUUAUAUCCGUCUUUUGUAGGCUAGGGAUGACAAGAAUAGCAACUACAGUGUUAAAUGACAUGAGAGCAAAAGGCUUUGAAGCUGACAUUAUCACCUAUAAUGCCCUGAUACGUGGGUAUUGUGAAAGCACACAAUUAAAAUUGGCAUUCACUAUGUACUACCAGAUUUUAGAUGCAGGAGUUUUCCCGAAUAUCGCAACAUACAAUAAUCUAUUAGCGGGUCUUGCAGCUGCUGGUUUGAUGAAUAAGACUACUGAGUUACUAAAUGAUAUGCAGGGAAAGGGUUUUUUACCUAAUGCUAAUACAUAUAAUAUUUUGGUUUGUGGCCAUGGAAAGAUUGGAAAUAAGAAGGAAUCCAUUAAGCUUUACUGUGAAAUGAUAACAAAAGGUUUCACUCCUCAAACUAGUACAUAUAAUGUGCUAAUUAGUGAUUUUGCUAAGACUGGGAAGAUGAAACAAGCUGGGGAGCUUAUAAAUGAAAUGCAAUUAAGAGGUGUGCGACCUAGUUCUUCAACUUAUGAUAUACUAAUAAGCGGUUACUGCGAGCUAUCUAAUCGAGUGGAUGUGGGCUGGGUGUCGAAGAUAUCAUACAGGACUGAGGCCAAACGUUUGCUCGAGGAGAUGAUUGGAAAAGGUUUCACUCCAUGCAAGACAACUCUUUCUCUAAUUAGCCAUGUUUUUGCCCAGGAAGGGAAGAUGGUUGAUGCCCAGGUGGUGUUGGAUAACUUAUACAAGAGACGUCUGGUAAAUGAGCAAACGAAAAACUUUAAGGAUAGGCGGAGAUGAAUGCUGGAGAGAAGCUAGCAGUGUCAAAAAGAAUCAAAAGGUUAUAGAGCAGAUAAUUCAAGAUCUUAUGGGACUCGGUGAACUCGUUGUUGAAGAAAUCUUCAUCUGAUGGUUUUGAAAGAAUACAUAACAUGACAGCUGAAGCUUUUGCCUUCACUACGGAGUCAAGUGAAGAACUGCAUAAACCAUUUGAGUUUUGUUCGUUCAAGAUUAUAAAGUCCUGGGUUACUUAUGUGAUCAAAUUGCAUUAUCCUGGCAAAAAGUCUUGUUCUGUGACAGCUGAUGCCUCGUUCAAGCUUCUCGUGGAAGAGGAUGACACAAAGAAAUGCAACACAGGUGUUUGACAGAGGUUUGAGUGAAGAGAUGUAGACUACAGAUGGUGAAGAUGUUUGCUGCUGUGGCCGACUAUGGCUGGGCAGAAUGGAUUUUAAGGCUGAUUAUGGGUGCUGGUGGCUGUUGAAGGCUGAUUCAGCAGUGUUAAGUCGGAAAUAAUGACUCUUGAGAGCAUACCCUAUUUUGGUUCCCUAAAAUAUUGUAAAAUAAUGGUUACCUUAUAUAUAGGUAACCAAAAAGUUGUUAUACUCCUGUGGUAUACCAAUACCACUGUAAUCAUCGCUUAUAUUUGAAAAAUAAUAAUUAAUUAGUACUUUUACAUAGGAGGAAGAGAUUAAAAAAGGAGGUAGAGAUAAAAAAAAAGGAAAAUGAGAGGAGAUGAUGUGGAACAUACGGGGAUUGCUUUUAUAUCCCCUAAAUAAGGGGUUCUUUUUUCUGUCACGUAAAACUUUCAGGCAAGGAGGGAAUGGCUGGAAUGGCUUUUUUGAGCUGAACCUGAUUUUUGUUCACACGGGGAGGGAGAUGCUCCUUGAAGUUGCUCUAAAAUCAGUUGAUGCACGACAUAAGUGGGAAAAGGGUAGAACAAAGGUCAAAUAUCUAUCUCCUCAGAGAAUUGUUGGAAUCACUAAUAAAUCCUUAGGGCUUAGAUUAAUCAAACAAAUAUCAAUUAUAUUAUUCAUCUCCGUUUAAUAAUGAAAGAUUACAAACAAAUCAUUACUUGGAAGAUGAUAUGGGCCGAACAUUACCAUGGACAUGUAAUCAUUACUUGAGAAAUUUCGUAGUCCCCUGAUGAGCUUAAGAUAGUUAUUCAACUGCCAGAGAGUUGUCAGAGAUGAUAACGUCCAUCAAUUCUCCCAU